rnacentral:rRNA from 1 species
AGACCCGAAACCCGGUGAUCUAGCCAUGGGCAGGUUGAAGGUUGGGUAACACUAACUGGAGGACCGAACCGACUAAUGUUGAAAAAUUAGCGGAUGACCUGUGGCUGGGGGUGAAAGGCCAAUCAAACCGGGAGAUAGCUGGUUCUCCCCGAAAGCUAUUUAGGUAGCGCCUCGUGAAUUCAUCUCCGGGGGUAGAGCACUGUUUCGGCUAGGGGGCCAUCCCGGCUUACCAACCCGAUGCAAACUGCGAAUACCGGAGAAUGUUAUCACGGGAGACACACGGCGGGUGCUAACGUCCGUCGUGAAGAGGGAAACAACCCAGACCGCCAGCUAAGGUCCCAAAGUCAUGGUUAAGUGGGAAACGAUGUGGGAAGGCCCAGACAGCCAGGAUGUUGGCUUAGAAGCAGCCAUCAUUUAAAGAAAGCGUAAUAGCUCACUGGUCGAGUCGGCCUGCGCGGAAGAUGUAACGGGGCUAAACCAUGCACCGAAGCUGCGGCAGCGAACGUAUCACCCAAGACAACUUUACGGAGUUGACGAUUGACGGAGCGAAGCGACGUCAAAGCGUUCAUUAAAGUCGAGUUGGCUUAGGGAUACGUUCGUUGGGUAGGGGAGCGUUCUGUAAGCCUGUGAAGGUGGCCUGUGAGGGUUGCUGGAGGUAUCAGAAGUGCGAAUGCUGACAUAAGUAACGAUAAAGCGGGUGAAAAGCCCGCUCGCCGGAAGACCAAGGGUUCCUGUCCAACGUUAAUCGGGGCAGGGUGAGUCGACCCCUAAGGCGAGGCCGAAAGGCGUAGUCGAUGGGAAACGGGUUAAUAUUCCCGUACUUGGUGUUACUGCGAAGGGGGGACGGAGAAGGCUAUGUUGGCCGGGCGACGGUUGUCCCGGUUUAAGCGUGUAGGUGUGUGUUCCAGGUAAAUCCGGUUCACUUUAACACUGAGGCGUGAUGACGAGGCACUACGGUGCUGAAGCAACAAAUGCCCUGCUUCCAGGAAAAGCCUCUAAGCAUCAGGUAACAUCAAAUCGUACCCCAAACCGACACAGGUGGUCAGGUAGAGAAUACCAAGGCGCUUGAGAGAACUCGGGUGAAGGAACUAGGCAAAAUGGUGCCGUAACUUCGGGAGAAGGCACGCUGACACGUAGGUGAAGUGAUUUACUCACGGAGCUGAAGUCAGUCGAAGAUACCAGCUGGCUGCAACUGUUUAUUAAAAACACAGCACUGUGCAAACACGAAAGUGGACGUAUACGGUGUGACGCCUGCCCGGUGCCGGAAGGUUAAUUGAUGGGGUCAGCGCAAGCGAAGCUCCUGAUCGAAGCCCCGGUAAACGGCGGCCGUAACUAUAACGGUCCUAAGGUAGCGAAAUUCCUUGUCGGGUAAGUUCCGACCUGCACGAAUGGCGUAAUGAUGGCCAGGCUGUCUCCACCCGAGACUCAGUGAAAUUGAACUCGCUGUGAAGAUGCAGUGUACCCGCGGCAAGACGGAAAGACCCCGUGAACCUUUACUAUAGCUUGACACUGAACAUUGAGCCUUGAUGUGUAGGAUAGGUGGGAGGCUUUGAAGUGUGGACGCCAGUCUGCAUGGAGCCGACCUUGAAAUACCACCCUUUAAUGUUUGAUGUUCUAACGUGGACCCGUGAUCCGGGUUGCGGACAGUGUCUGGUGGGUAGUUUGACUGGGGCGGUCUCCUCCUAAAGAGUAACGGAGGAGCACGAAGGUUGGCUAAUCCUGGUCGGACAUCAGGAGGUUAGUGCAAUGGCAUAAGCCAGCUUGACUGCGAGCGUGACGGCGCGAGCAGGUGCGAAAGCAGGUCAUAGUGAUCCGGUGGUUCUGAAUGGAAGGGCCAUCGCUCAACGGAUAAAAGGUACUCCGGGGAUAACAGGCUGAUACCGCCCAAGAGUUCAUAUCGACGGCGGUGUUUGGCACCUCGAUGUCGGCUCAUCACAUCCUGGGGCUGAAGUAGGUCCCAAGGGUAUGGCUGUUCGCCAUUUAAAGUGGUACGCGAGCUGGGUUUAGAACGUCGUGAGACAGUUCGGUCCCUAUCUGCCGUGGGCGCUGGAGAACUGAGGGGGGCUGCUCCUAGUACGAGAGGACCGGAGUGGACGCAUCACUGGUGUUCGGGUUGUCAUGCCAAUGGCACU